AGAGUUUGAUCAUGGCUCAGGAUGAACGCUAGCUACAGGCUUAACACAUGCAAGUCGAGGGGAAACGACAUCGAAAGCUUGCUUUUGAUGGGCGUCGACCGGCGCACGGGUGAGUAACGCGUAUCCAACCUGCCCACCACUUGGGGAUAACCUUGCGAAAGUAAGACUAAUACCCAAUGACGUCUCUAGAAGACAUCUGAAGGAGAUUAGAGAUUUAUCGGUGAUGGAUGGGGAUGCGUCUGAUUAGCUUGUUGGCGGGGUAACGCCACCAAGGCGACGAUCAGUAGGGGUUCUGAGAGGAACGGUCCCCCACAUUGGAACUGAGACACGGUCCAAACUCAUACGGGAGCA
rnacentral:rRNA from 1 species